AUGUAUCUCUGGCUUCCUUUUUCACUAGACUGUAGAAAUAAUUCUUCUAUAGAUAAUAUUUUGUGCUGUUUCAUGUUAAUCUUAUAUAUAUUCAUCUUCCAGUUUUCAUGUCGGUAUUUCCCCGGAGGAAAAAAAAAAAUCUCAUUAUCUAACCAGAAGAAAAUGAAAUUUAUCUUUGUUUCUAAAUAUACUUCCUCCUGGACAGAUUGAAACAAGCUGGUGUGAUUAUAGUUCCUGUCUCAGCAACUGUAUCUGUCCACAGGCUGACAUUUGCCAUGAUGCCUCCUGUCUAGAAGCACUGAUGAAGAACAUGCCAGUAGACGGAUAUGCCAGGUAAGCAGCAGAGAGAAGAAUUGUCAGGGGAAGAACUGGCUGGAUUAACUGCAGGAACUAGCUCUGAGAUGGCCUUGCCACAUACUUCUAUAAACAAAACUCAUGCGUUUUUCCAUUGGCUGUGUCUCAGUUCUCCUGGAAAAUUCCCUACCUUUCACAGAAUAUGUAGUUUGUAGAGGAAUCCUAAUAUAAAAUAUUAUGUCCUUUUCAUUACCAGCAUCAAGGUUAUGUUGAGUUUGUGUUG
rnacentral:lncRNA from 1 species